rnacentral:sRNA from 1 species
GUUACAUACAAAAAACAUUUAGUAGUUAAAUAUUUUUCGAAUAAGGGUGUAAAAAUAGGUAGCCCAACUAAACUCAACUUAAAUUUAGGGUUAAAUGAAUUAUGGGUUGACCCAUUUAAAUAAUAAUUUAUUUAAUAAUUAUUAUAAAACAAGAAUAAAUAAUUAUCAUCAUCAAUAAUUUAUUAUCAUCAAAUUUGGGAUAUUUACGGAUUCAUAAUUUUUUACGGGUUUACGUUUUUUGACGGAAAAAUUAUGGGUUUCGUUUCUAUUGGCGAAAAAUUCACGGGUAAUCGUUUUUUGGCGGGAAAAUACUGGUUUACGUUUUUUUGGCGAGAAAAUUACGGGGUUACGUUUUUUUGAGGAAAUCAUAGGUUUAUGUUUUUAUGGUGGAAAAAUCACGAAUUUACGUUUUUGCAAAAAAUCACAGGUUCAUGUUUUUGGCGCAAAAAUUACGGUUUACGUUUUCUGACAAUAAAACUAAUGCAUUGUAACAUUAUCCGGUCAACAAAACUUUUAGUUAAAAAACUUCACUUUAUUACAACAACUCACGAUUACAAGAAUGUCUAAAUUUUCAUUCAUGAGUUUUGAACAAAACACAAGUGAGAACCUCACUCUCACUCUCACAAUCGAAUAACAAUCGUCUCUUCCUUGUCAAUAAAAUUGUAUCUCGAUAUUGGUUUAGAUGUGUUGGUUAAACUUAAAUUGACUUUGGUUUAGAAAUUUUAAUUGGUUUAAUUCAAUUUUACAAAACUUAAUGGGUUAAUUGGGUAAACCAUUAAAACCAUUAACCAUUACAACUCAACUCAUUUUAUUCAUCAAACCAAUUGACCCACUAGCUCAUUUGAUCCAUCAACUCAUUUGAGUCAAAAAAUUUAACUCAUUAGGGUUCAUGGGUUGAGUUGAGUUGAGUUGACCCAUGAAUCUUGACCCAUUUUGAACUCCUAGAUGUACUAAUAUCUAUUUUAAUUAACGUUAUUCACAUAGUUAUAUUUAUAAGCUAUAUACAAGAAUAUAUUUAGUAGGUACAUAUUUUUCUGUAUGAAUAAUUUAUCAAUAUUUUUAAAUAAUUACCAUAAUAUUUUCUAUAGAAAAAAUCAUCAUUUUUUGUUUACCCUCUUUUGUUCAAUAUCUCAAAUUUAUUCUAUAACUUCUACUUUUAUCUUUCUUUUUAUUGUUGCUUAUAGAACAAUAUGCUUAUGUUUUGCUUAUGUUAUGCUUAUGUUUUUCUUAUUUUUGUUCGAUUAUUUUAUUUUUCUUAGUUUAUUAGUCAGGACACAUCAAAAAAUUGCUACCAUAUUGUGACAAUCUAAUGAACACAUCAGAAAGCCAAAGAAACUGGAGAAAUAAGUGUGUGUUGGGCAUAAAAAAAGAAUAGAGAUUUGGUGUUGAUAUGGUUUAAGACUCAUGAAUUCAUACGACAUGACCCUCCAUAAAAUAUGUAACUACCCCAAUCCUUUCUAAACAUGACUCUGGUGUUGUAGAACUUAUGAUCGUCUACUUUUACUACUACGUCUUGAACGGGCUUGAUUAUGUUGUUAUAUACGAUCUCCAAGUUGCGAAAGUAGCUAACUUUGUCAAAGCCUUCAUCGGAGAAGUGACCAGAUCCCAUCUGUGUAAUUGUGUGUCAGCCAAAACUUUGCGAAUUCACAACCUCACCACCCCAUUGCACGUCGUAUAUAUAAGCUAAAUUUGGAAAUUUGCAGUUAACCAAUAUCCAACCAAUGAAUGGUUGGAUCCCAAACUUAGCCACCAGUUCCCAGACUCUUGAUCCUAUAUAAUUGUUUAUCAACGAUGAUAUUUAACUUUUAAAUUAGAAAUGUAAAAUUCAUUAACUAAAACAAAAGAUACAAUCUCAAAUAUUUUUCCUCGGAUGUAGAGACGGAGUAAUGGUGCCUCCAACAACAAUGUUGUUACUUGUUUGUAUGAAACCAGGACAUUGAAGGUUGUAGCAUCCGGUUACAUUGUAAGUGUCACUUUGAAUAUAAUUUUAUAGUAUUUUUAUAAGUAAACUUAUCUUCUUUUUUGUGUGUGCACCAAAUCAUGAGAAUUAACUUAGAAGGAUACAUGACGACAAAAAAAAAAAAAAACUUAGAAGGAUACAUGAAGAUAAGGCUUAUCCGGACAUACUCGAAUAGAAGAGUUGAGAAUCAAAUCAUAACCGGAUUAUUAUCAAUUUUGAUAUAGAUAUAAAUAUCAAUUUUGAUAGCAUCUAUUAAUUUCCGGUUUGACAAUAAUCUAUA